rnacentral:pre_miRNA from 1 species
GAGACACCCCCAUGGAGCAGAACUUGCUUCAGAGGGGCUUUGGUGCUCUCAGAGUUUUCCCCUUGAAUGUGUCACU